rnacentral:misc_RNA from 1 species
CAAGUGACCCCCGGCUCCGGCCGGGGAUGUUCAUAACCCUUUGUUGUCCGACUCUGUUGCCUCCGGGGCGACCCUGCCUUUUCACGGGGCGGGGGCCCCGGGUGGACACAUCAAAACUCUUGCGUAACUUUGCAGUCCGAGUAAAUUUAAUUAAUAAAUUA